rnacentral:lncRNA from 1 species
AUAAUUGCCAGCCGAGGUAGGAAAACUCACCCAGGACCGCCCGAGUAACUUGCAAAGGAAACUUGCAAAGCACUAACCAACCUUCCUCCUCCAGAACAAUCUUUCCCGCCAGGCGCUCGAGAAAAGCGUCACACGUAUUAGCUUAACACUGAUGCCGACCGCCCGGCCAAUCCCGAACGUUGGUCCUCCAGACUAAAAGUGCUGACUUGAUUCACCAGCUGAUCCCGAAAGCGGUCGCAUUCCGUCCGCAGUCCACUCACCCCUAUAGACAGAAACGUAGAACUGAGGUGCCNAUGGAGACACCCAUGUAAGUCAGGAGUUGGACCUAAGUUGAUGGUACAUGACAACAACUGCAGGAUCUUUCCAAAACUACCAUGAAAACAUUG